rnacentral:lncRNA from 1 species
GCCGAUCCUGGACUGUAGCACCAACCAACCGAUCUUUAACUGUAGCGCCACUCGGCCGAUUUCCAACUGUCACCCCUGCAUCCUGCUGUAUCUUCCCACUUCUUCUUCUCCUGACGCCGAUUUUACUCGUGUCGAAAUCUGGCGUCAACACAUGCCCCCCAGUUUCGGAGUAAAACAUAGUCUUUACUUUGAAAUUCUUUUCAACUUCCCCUCUGAAACAACCGCAAUGAAAAUAUCCUUCCGUUUCGCGGUCUUCAAUCUGAUGAUUGCAAUCUUUUCGAAACGGGCGCCCACGACAACCACUACUCCCGAAAAACUCGAAACGCCGGCGCGGUAAAAAUUCCAUUUUUACCCUUCC